GAAUGUUGCUUGUGUCUGCGAGAUUGUCCAAGUAAAUUUUAUGUGGGAAUUGGAGUGAUUAAGUUCUUCCAGAAAAUCCAUUAGUUCCUCGUGGCUAUCAUCCCAAAUCAUUAUGAUAUCAUCAAUGUAACGAUACCAUAAUGUUGGUUUACGUUUUAGUAUUCUGGCUUUAUUAAAGAAAUCGAUCUCCAAGUCCCACAUGAAGAGACAAGCAUACGUCGGGGCUGCUUUCGUUCCCAUCGCUGUUCCGUGUAUCUGUCGAUAAUAUUUGUUAUUAAAUUGGAAGACGUUAUCUUUAAGGAUGUGAGUUAGAAAGUCGCGUAAGUUCUCUUUAGUUCCUCUAGAUCUCGUGGGACAAUUGGAGCUGCAACGUCCAAGGGCAUACUAACUCCUUUUGAAUCCGAUUCUUUGUCUAGGGAGACUGGACCGUCCCAAUCUAUUCCAAAAUGCUUGGAUCUACGGUCAAUGCAUCGGCUACGGAGUAGCUUGAUCCCAGCAUUCUUAACAUGCCAGAUAUCCAUAACUGGACAGGCGAACCGUAAAUUACAAUAAAUACCGUAUUUAGAAACAUUAUAUCAAAAUUUCUAACCUACGACGGAGUUCUGCAUGUUCAGUGGACACAAGAUGCCUGCACCAACCUUGACGAAAUCCAUCAAAACUGGCUUGAAUUCUGGGAAUAGAGACAUAUUGCAAGCAGAACAAGUCAGUAACGUUGCCUGGAUCUAGUAGCUGACGCCUUUCCAAAUCCUGAAAUAUAUUUUUAUGACGAUGUUACUCCCACGGUUACGUCUCUCCAUAGACGUUCGAUCCUCUGGUUGUGUAUAGCGAACGGCAAUAAAGCUAUGUCUCCCCGUUCCUCUUGCUGCUACUAGCAUGUACUCAGCGACUCUGACAUUCUCUACGCCUCGAUCAGCUCGCACUCGUGAAAGUAGACCAAACUGAGCGACUGCUGCUUGAGUAGGUGGCGAUGCCCCAAUAAAGGGUUUGUCUACGUCAAUGAAAUCCCAUUUUUCAUAAGCUGAAAAUCUUCUUGCCGGGAUGGAACAGUAGCUUUGUAUACCUAUCUAUACAGCAUUCGUAUCGUGCCUACAUCUCACCCGUCAGAAAAUGGAGUAUUCAUAUAUGUAAAGAUACGCAUGUCUGGUACAUUUAUUGUCCUUGGGUGCUUUUGUAGAGGGUGUGAAGGCAUUUGAGUAACAAAUCCGUUUAUGGCGUCUGUUGAGGGCAUACAGGGACUGGUGUUGCAUACAGUCUCCAAGACGUGGCAGACUGUCCGCGAUAUUUGCAAUUUUGAUGUAAUCAACUUCCUCAGGGGUCACCUACAUUAACAAAUAACACAAAUUUACUGAACAUUUACAGAACAAAAAAUCACCUACAUUUACUUUCAAAUUAGCAAAUAUUUUGUCAAACUCUUUCAAUAACUCAUGUUGAGGUAAUUCUAAGGUCUUUGAAUUAUAGUAAUCAGGUAUUGCUUUUGAACAUGAAAAAUGUUCAAAAGCAAAGUGGGCAGCUAAAAGUUGUUAUUUUCAAUAUAGCUGGUUUUGCUUUAGAUGCAUAUAAGGCUCUGGGAGUACGGUAGCACCCUUCCAAGUAAGGAUGGCACCUGUAGUUAAUAUUAAUCUCGAUAUUCAUAGAUGUGAAGUGCUUCCAUAAAAUAUCACAAUUUUUAUAUCAUCUUCCGUGGAUACACAGGGUUCAUGGCCUUUGACUAUCUCUUUAGCGCUAGCACAUUAUUGCUUUUACAGCGUAGCAACUAUCCACGUCUGGGUCUUAGAAUGAAGUUUGACAACUGUGAAUUGGAAUUUAUGCAAACAGAUCUAAGAGAACAUUUGACCAAAUUCUUUGCAAAAGUGCCGGUAUAUUAAUCUUUCAAAGUGUACAACCAGUUAGAAGCUAAUAAUUUGUAAGUUUUAAUUAAGCGCAAACUGUUAAUUUUAGGUGUUUGUUAUUAUGGUCUUUUAUAUAGAUAACAAAGUUCUACUCUAAUGUAUGAAUGUAGUGCUACUAAAAUGAAGAAGCACUAGAAGUACAAACCCUCGGCCGGUAUGCACCUUGAAGGUAAUUAGUCGCGCUAUGACAAAAUCAUGACAGAAACGCAUGAUGUGAGUAAUAAACGUACAACAUGCAGUGUAUAUGUCAAAAGUUAUUGUUUUGUAUGUUUGUAUGUGUUGUAUAGAUUAGCGAUUUGGAAGAUUGUAAAACAGAUAAUUUCUUCGUGAGUCUAGAAGUAUUUCGGAUGCACUUAUAGCGGCCGGGUGUCCUCAUCCUCUCACCAUCUCAAAUAGAGAUGAUGCAAUAACAACUAUACUGCUAAAUGAGCUCAUAGUAAGCCGCAAAGCUGAAAUAGAUCAAUUUGUUGUUGGACUUGGACCUAUUGGUGAUCUUGCCAAACAAUUUCCCGAUAUUGUGAGGCCUCUAGCAACUUUCGCUGACAUAAAACUAACCACACAGGAGUUCGUGUCAAUGCUCCAGUUUGAGUCAACACUUCCAGCACACCUGAAAGACUAUACUUCUUGCGCUACAUUAUGGCUGCGGAUACAGAAAACUCGGCAGGUUGUUCCAAUACUCUGCAAGGGGUUGACGGAAAUCUCCUGGUUUCGUCGAUUCGAUCCGCCUAUCCAAACGUUUCAACGUGUGCGUUAAUUUUAGAACUUUCUAGGCAAUGCACACGUAGGAGUAGUUCGUGCAAAGCGUAAAUUCUGUGAUUGGCAUUCAAUAUACUGGAUUUGGAGUUGUCUAGCUACUAGUAAUGUGUUGUCAUUAUUUCUAAUUUACGCUAGCAAUAAUAUAGAGUAAGGUUGUUUGUUAGGUUCUAUAACCAGAACUUGUUAAGUUUAUUGUGCGUUGCUGGAAAUUGAGUUGAAUGCAUCUUAA